rnacentral:rRNA from 1 species
AGCGAACGCUGGCGGUAGGCCUAACACAUGCAAGUCGAACGGCAGCACAGGAGAGCUUGCUCUCUGGGUGGCGAGUGGCGGACGGGUGAGGAAUACAUCGGAAUCUACUCUGUCGUGGGGGAUAACGUAGGGAAACUUACGCUAAUACCGCAUACGACCUACGGGUGAAAGCAGGGGACCUUCGGGCCUUGCGCGAUUGAAUGGGCCGAUGUCGGAUUAGCUAGUUGGCGGGGUAAAGGCCCACCAAGGCGACGAUCCGUAGCUGGUCUGAGAGGAUGAUCAGCCACACUGGAACUGAGACACGGUCCAGACUCCUACGGGAGGCAGCAGUGGGGAAUAUUGGACAAUGGGCGCAAGCCUGAUCCAGCCAUACCGCGUGGGUGAAGAAGGCCUUCGGGUUGUAAAGCCCUUUUGUUGGGAAAGAAAUCCAGCUGGCUAAUACCCGGUUGGGAUGACGGUACCCAAAGAAUAAGCACCGGCUAACCUCGUGCCAGCCGCCGCAGUAA